rnacentral:rRNA from 1 species
AGAGUUUGAUCCUGGCUCAGGACGAACGCUGGCGGCGUGCUUAACACAUGCAAGUCGAACGAGGUCCAUCCGGUGGCAACACCGGUGAAGACCGAGUGGCGAACGGGUGAGUAACACGUGAGCAACCUGCCCCGAAGACCGGGAUACCACCGGGAAACCGGUGCUAAUACCGGAUAUCCCUACCGGGCCGCAUGACCUGG